UACCUGAUAAAUUUGUUCACCCCUUGGGAUAGCUACCUCCAUAUACGUGGUGUGUAUAAUAUAUACAUCCACAUCUCUAUAGUGUGUGCACAAUACAUAUAACAUGUAUGUGUAUGAUUAUAAAAAAGAAGAAGAAAUACAGCUGAGCAGGCCUGCAGCAAAUGCUGUUUUUGUCUUCUUCUUUCUUGGAAAGGCUGCUCAGAAGAAAUUAAUAAUUAAUCUCACUCCAACAGCUGGUGAUUGCAGACUGUCUCCCCAUGCACAGUGCUUAGUCUCCAGCUUUUGUUUUAGAAUUCUGUAGUCACUUCAGCUGGAGUAGCCCUCAGGCCUUACAUUGCAAAGCAACCUCUGUAUCUCCUGGAUUAUCUGUUUGUCACUGCCCAAGGCCUGUUGAUUAUCACUUCAUCAAGCAAAAUGAGCACCCAAAUGUGUGAUGAGCUCAUACAGUACAAGUAAGAAGUGACGGGGACAGAUGCUCAGUUGGCAUGGAGUACUCUAGUUCCAUUGACUUCAGCUGGGGAUCUGUCCCAGCGUAACCCUGACUGAGGAUGCUUUACAUUCUAAUUUCAGGCACGAUGCAACAAAGGGAUGGGAUCAGGCAGAUGAGCAAAAGAUCAGGAUCACUUCAGGUCGAGGCACCCUUGAAUGGUCCACAGGCCAGAGUAAAACAAACUGGAGCUUGACAAGCACACAGGAACUUGGCAGCCUGCAACACAUACAACAUGGAGCAACAAAUUGUCUGCACCAAGAGCCAUCUGGAAGACAGGCAUAACGUUGCCGAUUUUGGAGAGGCAGAUUGCAGUGCACCAUGAGGAGAAAUGAAAAGAAAGCAGAAGAAAAAAGUAAAAACAGAACAAACAUAAGAUGGCAUCAGCAAUGUUUCAGGCCUUGCUGGUUUCUCCUGUGCCCCUGAAUGCAGAGGAGAUCAAGGACACUGUGGAGCUUAUGCCUUCUUCAGGGAAUGAAUCCCUAAGGUAAGACCUUUGCCACAUUUCCAUUUGGGAAGGGUGCUCUACAGCUGGGUCACUCUUCUUAAUCUCUCCAUUGACUGACCAUGUCAGGCUUCGGAAAAUGGGUUUGAUAUCAUUAGGAUACUUUGGUUUCACCCAGAAUGGCUGUUCUUAUGUUCUUAGUUUACCUUUCUGUGUUAAUCCUCUCAGUACCUACACCUGGGAUCUUCCCUUUCUCAGUAGCACAUUGCUCUGUCCCAACCAGCCAUAAAGUUAAAUGCUACAUUUUUAGUCAUAACCUUUUUGGCCACCUGGGGUGCUCAGUCAGUGAAGAGUAUAGUGCAUGCUUAUUCAUAACUACAUAAGUGAAAAUAAUCAAGGUGAUAAAGGGCAGAGCAAUAUGAUGCAUUUACCGCUUGUUAAUUAUAUGGUCAUACAAAACUCUUGUCAGAACAUCUUACUAUUCUGGGCAAUUGAUACAAGUUAGAACAGCCCUCAGCCUGUUCUAACUUAUGCCAGGGAAUGAUCAGGUGUGGACAAGCCCCUGGAUUGUGGGGUAGCUUAUCAUUCAAAUUACAAACUUCUAGAGGCAAUAACCCUAUCAUUAAUGUACUGCUGAUUGUUUUCCACACAUAACUAGAGUGACUUGAAAAUGAAUUACAGUGCUAAUAAUCGUUUUGCAGCAAUAUUUUGCCAUUUCAAAAUGUUUUAAAAAGCCAAAACAUAGGGUAAAUAAGCACCAGUAUAAGAAAUCAAGUGAAAACUAAUCUAAAGAACAUUUGAUUUUUAAAGUAUUAUUUAUGUUCCAGAUUCUAGUUAUGGACUUUUUCUUAAUUUCCCAAUUUACGGCCAUUUCCAUCAUCUCCUCUGCAAUCUCUCACUUUCUGGCUAAGUCGUCUCAGAGAAAGACACACAUCUAUGCACUUCCUACUGCUUGGUGGCCAAUAACUACACAAACUGCCCUUUGAAUGAGAUUGUAGAGGGAAGACAAUUGUUGAGCUCUCCUAAGUGAAAAUGCCACCCGCAGCAGUAAGGUGCUGACAGGCAAUUACAAUCUGGCAAGAUUUACAGCUCUGGCAUUCUGCCCUAGCUGCAAAAUGUCCAGUAACAGUGUAAGCUCAGUGGGGGUAAAGACAUAUCCACCAAAGAAAUUUGUGUUCAGAUUUAUUAAAAACACCUUGUAAACUAUACUACCAUUAUGGGUGAAAUCUUGUCCUCAUUGAAAGUAAUGGGAAUGUUGGCAUUGAUUUCAAUGGGGAUAUCACCUUAUAAAACUAGCUAUCACAUCUGCAACUGUCUCAUCUUUCUAAUUUUGGCACUACUGCAGGUUUGGACCAUCACAGGAAAUUUGGGUUGGCUGAAUUAUUUAUUGCAAAUAAUAGUACAUGCUAAUUUACAACCCCCACCCGCACCCUCCCGUUGUCAAAUGCCUCCUAAGAUGAUUCUAAUUUCUGCAAGGGUAUUCAGUAUUCACAAGGAUUAUGCAAACAAAUUUCAAGGUAUGGGUUGUUCUUGAACGGUUCACAUUUACUAUUUGCUGUUCAUGGUGUGUGAUUGGUCAACGAGGUCACAUGAUACUGUUUCUGCUCCCUGAUUUCAGGAAUUAAACAUUCUGAACAGCAGAAUGAUGAAUAACACAUAAUUUUUUUGGAUGAGCUAUCAUGAGUGGGUGACCAUCCAAAUAAUACUAUCCCAGAGGAUUAACGGCAAAUACGUUGCAGUGCUUGUAUUUGCAUGAUAUUUGCUAAUCAUUUUUUCAUUAUUCAACACAAGAAACAGUAUAUACUAGGUAAAUAAAUUUAAAAAGUAUCAGAAAAUAAAUCCAAAGGUAUCAGAAAAACCAGAACAACAGGUUCCAUAUCUUUUAAGAAAUUUUUGCUUAUAGCCUUCUUUGAUCACUCUUCUCAUACUGAGUAGUAAGUAAUGAGUAGUCCUAUUGAUUUGGGCCAAAAAAUACUACCUUAACAUGAGUAAGGGUGGCAGAACCAAUUCAGUGUAGCCAACUCUCACAAUUUUAUUUUGAGUCUCACACUAUUUGACAUUUUUCUUAAAGCCCCAGCUCUGGGAGACCUGAGAUUUUGUGAGAAUCUCAGGUUUUGCGUUUUCUACCCCCCCCCCCCCCCCCCCCCACAUUGUUUUAGUGCUUGUGGCUAAGGAGGAAAGCUUGAAAAUGUGACCCUAGUGCACAGCAAAACAGAAGGCAAAUAAAAAAACCCCCAAAUUUAUAAUUUCUAAAAAAAACUCAUGAUUUUUGGUGGUCUGCCUCAUGAUUUUUGAAAGCUUGAAGGCAGCAGUAUUGAAAUCCAGCCUUUAAUUUGGAAAUCCUUCACUCAGAGCAGGAGGGAAAAUGGAUUCUUCCUUGUCACAAGUUAUACAGCUUUAAAGUAGGUACAUGGUUAACAACAAUGCUUUCUAAAAAUAAUCAUAUCACAGGGACGGUGACAAAUUAAUAUGUCAAACAGUGUACAAAUAACACAGAGAUGAUAUAUAAAAUUGCCUUUAUACAAAUUAACAAAAUAGCCAGUUUUCUUUGCAAUUCCAUUUCCCAUUCUGUUGUAUUGCAAAGUGUAUAAAAUAAGCACAUCAAAUGCUAUCAGAGGAAACUGCCUUCCCCAGCCUUCUCUUACAGAUUUCUAAGGUUGAUUUGCAUAUUUGUACUAAUGUGUAUGAAUCAGUAAGCUUCAGCUAUAUUUUAAUUGCAUUAAAGAAAAUUCUACCAUAUGUGGGAUUAAAAUGCCCACUUUCUCUGUCCUAUGUUAUUUUUUGCACCAUCCUUAUGGCUUGGCUUAUCAUUUUCCACAGUCAAACACAUGAAUUACUUUAAUGUACCAUUUGGAGUAGUACUUAUUCAUUCCUUCUUUUUAAAAAUAAUUUUCUUCAAUAGCUACAUGUGUUCGCCACAUAUGAUUAAACUAAAAGCUAGAAACUGGUCUUUGGUGUUCAUUUCUACCCGGUUACUAGGGAAGUAAAGGUUACCAAGGGAAGUGGUGUUUUAUCACACAUUCAGCAUUGCACAAAAAUAGCCUAAAUGUUUGCAUUACGGAAAGGCUCAACAAUUUUUUUCUGUAAAUUUAGUGCCAAAAGGAGCUAUUUUGGAUAUUGGGAGCGUAUGUUUUCUGUUCAAUAUAUAGAUCUUGCAGCUUGUAUGACAGUGAAAAAUCUUAUUUAAAACCCUAAAAUGAACAAUUUGCUUCAGAGCUUGAAGGCACCACUAAACAUUUCAUAACCUAGGCAGUUCUCUGAAGCUGAGCUGCAUUUCUGGUGGGGGUGGAGGUGGGGGAGGGGGAGACAGCACAUCAGACAUCAUGAAGACUUUGUCCCUGAGGGGGGCUGGGCUGAUGUGGCUGCACAGCAUGUGAGAUCAAAAACCAUAUGUGCUGCUCUGUUUCAAAUGACCUUUUUUUCAUAACCAGGUUUCUUGCCUGUAAUUUUUUUAGUGAAUUUAAUACUGGUGAAAGUUGCUAGAUUGACAGCGCUACAGCCUAAACCUAAACCUGUCUAUUAUUCACGGUACAACUCUAGAAGAGUAAGGAGCAUCACAGUAGGUCUGAUUCUCCCCUGCCUUGCACCUUGUGUGCUCACUUACACUUGUGCUACGUGAAUGUACGAUGCUACCAUAUUUAGAACUCUUUUUUCACACUGUGGGGAAUGUUUUGCAGCCACUGUGCACUCACUUUGCACUGAUAUAAAUAGCUUCACAUGGUGUAAAGCAAUGGAGAAUGGGGUCCGGUAUUCUUCAAAUCUGACCUGGAGGGAUCACCAUCAAAUACUGACAGGUUUCAUAGUAGCAGCCGUGUUAGUCUGUAUUCGCAAAAAGAAAAGGAGAACUUGCGGCACCUUAGAGACUAACGAAUUUAUUUGAGCAUAAGCUUUCGUGAGCCACAGCUCACUUCAUCAGAUGCUUUGCCUCUCUAUUGAGGAUCCUGACAAUAGGACUAAUUCACAUCAGUUGUGACAAAAUCACCUCCCUACUGGAGACUGGGCUGGAAACUCAUCAUAUACUGUAGGCCAUCAAACAGCUAGCAGAUGGUAACACUCUUUGAACAUUACUGACUUCUGGUGCAUUUGGACCAGUGACCUAGAAGGGAAAGGUUCUAUAUCCAAUUACCAUUUGCCUGAGCCAUCCUAUAUUCACCUACACACACACACACACAUUGAAUUACAAUUUAUCAAAGCUGCAAUCAGAUAGCUACAGGUUAAGUUCAUGAGGCAUCAAUCUAAAUGCAUGCCAUAAAAGGGAAUGUGAAGCUACUGGCCACAGUACCACAAAUACAUGAUAUUGGGCCAGCUCCUCAAGUGGUUUAAAUCAGCAUAGCUCAUUGACUUAAAUGGAGCUAUGCCAAUUUACACCGAGGAUCUGGUCCUCUGUGUCCAAUGCUCUAAUUCUUUUUAAAUAUAUUGCUCCGAUUUUCUUUGCAGAGAUGAACCACUGCAAGCAGAUGCUCACUGCCAUUCUAAUUGACCACCUCACAUACAAUGUAGACUGUAACACUCUUGAGUUUAGUCAUAUGCUACUUCCUGUGCUAGCUGAUUAAGAUCAGAAGCUAGGAGGUGAUUGUCUAAACUAUUUUUCAGACUCUAACUGGUUUCCUGUACCUUUUCUACAAUUCAGGAGGAAGAAAAUGAAAGCCUAAAAAUCUAACACUACAAGCAAAGAUAACUGACUUUAUUUUCUAAUGGACCACCCUAAACAUAAUGGAAUUAUCCUGAAGCAUUUUUGCCAACAGAUUUUCAGUGGAUUACAUCAGCAUUUCACUGAAUCCCAGUUCUUAGAAUAUGUAGACUUCCUUAUUCAACGCUUGAUCAUACAAGAUGUUGAAUGCCUUCAAUUUUCAUUGACUUCAGUGGGAGUUCAAGGCCACAGAGCAUCUUACAGGAUCGAGCCUUUAUUCUGUUGUAAGUAUUAAGCUAGAGGAAUCAAGUUGUGCGCUCAUGCUGGUGAGAAUUCAGUCAAGGACAGAAUUCAUCCUGCGAGGUGGUGAGUGCUCCCAGUAUCUUUUGAGUACAGACUAGGUGCACUCAGCAUCUUGCAGGAUUAGGCCCCUGAUCUAUACUCCUUACUCAGGGAAAAGGCGCAAUGAAAUCAAUGGAGUUACCCCCAGGGAUAAAUUUGUCUCUGUUGCAGUUAAUUCACAUAGCACCCAUGGGUACAAUUGAUCCUGAAUCAGGAAGAAGGUGCAGGACCAAGUCUUAGCCACUGAAUAAGCUAAGAUACUAGUGACCUUCACAGACCAUCCCCACAACACCCAUAUGAAGAAGUGUCAUUUCAGGCUGCUAUAUGCUUAGCGAUGAAAUCCUGAUGCCCCCUGCCUUUAAAAUGGGUCCAGAAUUUCACCCAGUGUCAUGUGACAGGGAUGGGAGAUGAAUGUGUACAUAACAAAGCAGGUUAUGUGAAAUGGCAUGCUACUGUCUGAUGGUUUACAAGAUAGUUUUGUCCCAUCAUGAUUUUUAUUUUUUAAACUAACAUGGAUUUUAUCCCCAAAGUAUUAAUUUUAAAUUUUACGAACAAGAUUCUAGGUCAGAUCAUCAUACAGUGACUAAUAAGAAAGACAUUACCCAAUGAAUCUCUGAACAGAUCCAAACCAUAUUUAAUUCUGCAGAACUUCAUUUGCACAGAAUACCCUUUAUUAAACGAUCAUUAAUAGUUUUACUUUUAGCACAGCACAAAGAAUGAGCGGUCAACAAUACGCAAAAGACUGGCUACCCUGGUUGCUGUCUUAAUGUAUUUAUUCUAAAAUUUUUAGGUUCAGUCUAUUAUUGUACCGCCUACUAAACUGAAAUGCAGAUUAAUUACAUAUUUGCAUGAAGAAAGUGCAGUUCAAGGGUGAAGAUACAGAAUGGUUUCUACAAAAGGAAAUGUUUUAAAAAAAUACAAAACUGCUGAUUUACCUCAAAUUUGAAAAAUAUGUAUUAGAACUAAACAUAUUUACAGGAAAGCAAACAAAGUUAGCUGUGAUGCAUAUAAAUAUGAAUGAAAAGAAAUCUAUUUUAAGUGUUGUAGGACUGAAAUUGGCAAGAGCAUAUAUCAAGAGCCAAAAACUUUUUUUUUUUAAAUAAUCUCCAAAGGUCUCCUAGCAUCCCACAUGUUAACACAGGCACUUACGCUUCAUCCUGUGAGAUCACUGUCCAAAAGAUAGCACAUCAAUACCAUCCAGGUUUUAAAACAUUUUAUU